AUUGAACGCUGGCGGCAGGCCUAACACAUGCAAGUCGAGCGGAUGAAGGGAGCUUGCUCUUGGAUUCAGCGGCGGACGGGUGAGUAAUGCCUAGGAAUCUGCCUGGCAGUGGGGGCUAACGUCCGUAAACGGGCGCUAAUACCGCAUACGUCCUGAUGGAGAAAGUGGGGGAUCUUCGGACCUCACGCUAUCAGAUGAGCCUAGGUCGGAUUAGCUAGUUGGUGGGGUAAAGGCCUACCAAGGCGACGAUCCGUAACUGGUCUGAGAGGCUGAUCAGUCACACUGGAACUGAGACACGGUCCAGACUCCUACGGGAGGCAGCAGUAGGGAAUAUUGGGCAAUGGGCGAAAGCCUGAUCCAGCCAUGCCGCGUGUGUGAAGAAGGUCUUCGGAUUGUAAAGCACUUUAAGUUGGGAGGAAGGGCAGUAAGUUAAUACCUUGCUGUUUUGACGUUACCAACAGAAUAAGCACCGGCUAACUUCGUG
rnacentral:rRNA from 1 species